rnacentral:rRNA from 1 species
UACGGAGGGUGCGAGCGUUGUCCGGAAUCAUUGGGCGUAAAGGGCGCGUAGGUGGCCCGGUCAGUCCGUGGUGAAAGCCCGGGGCUCAACUCCGGAAUUGCCUUUAAGACUGCAUCGCUAGAAUUGUGGAGAGGUAAGUGGAAUUCCGAGUGUAGAGGUGAAAUUCGUAGAUAUUCGGAAGAACACCAGUGGCGAAGGCGACUUACUGGACACAUAUUGACGCUGAGGUGCGAAAGCGUGGGGAGCAAACAGG